rnacentral:tRNA from 1 species
GGCUUAGCUCAGUUGGUAGAGCGACUGACUUGUAAUCAGUAGGUCGCGGGUUCGACUCCUGCAGCCGG